rnacentral:rRNA from 1 species
AAUGAACGCUGGCGGCAGGCCUAAUACAUGCAAGUCGUACGGUAGCAGGUGUAGCAAUACAUGCUGACGAGUGGCGCACGGGUGCGUAACACGUAUGCAAUCUGCCUUUAACUGGGGAACAACCCCUCGAAAGAGGGGCUAAUACCGCAUAACAUCACCGGACGGCAUCGCCUGGUGAGCAAACCUACGGGGGUUAAAGAUGAACAUGCGACUGAUUAGUUAGUUGGCGGGGUAACGGCCCACCAAGACAGCGAUCAGUAGGGGAUCUGAGAGGAUGAUCCCCCACACGGGUACUGAGACACGGACCCGACUCCUACUGGAGGCAGCAGUAAGGAAUAUUGGACAAUGGAGGCAACUCUGAUCCAGCCAUGCCGCGUGAAGGAUGAGUGCGCUAUGCGUUGUAAACUUCUUUUAUACGGGAAAAAUAUCCGCUAUUCUUAGCGGAUUGAUUGUACUGUAAGAAUAAGGGUCGGCUAACUUCGUGCCAGCCGCCGCUGUAAAAC